AGUCAUCUUGCCAUCUGUACCAGCAUUGCUCCAGGCUUCCAUAUGAAAGUCCAAUCUGGCGGUAUAAAUACUGGAUAAUGAAGACACUGGCAGAGUCUUUACACUGCACACCACUGCUGACCCGAGAAAUGACCCACAGGAACUACUGGCAAAAGGAGCAAAAAGGAACGUCAUUUGUUGAGGCUACAAGUGAAAAUUCUUUUCCUUCCUUAGCUGCCCUCAGCUGAUCCAUUGGGAUCUUCUGAAGAUUAAAUCAGAAGUGAUGUCAAACUUCACCAAGCUGACAGUUGCGAUCCCUGUCCAGGAAUGGUUAUGCCUCUUGUGGAGCUUUUCUUGCCUUGCCUUGCACUCCUGUUCCUCCUCCCAUAUAUCUCUAAAUCCAGAAGACCUGGAAUCAUAGAAUAUGCUGAAUUGGAAAGGACCCAUGAAGAUAAUUCAAUCCAACCGCUGGCUCCACACAAGAUUGCCAAAAAAUCAGACCAUAUGUCUGAGCUGUGAUUAGCUGUUUCCUUGUAGUUGGAUACAAAGGGAGGUGGGAAAAGGAAGAUCUGUCUUCUACUAUCCCUGCAUUCUAAUGUCUAGAUUUAAAGAAUGUCCAAUCCUUGCCCACGUUUUGAGUGUUGCCAGCAGCUGUGGGGGAGUAUGGGAGAUAGGUGGCUGUGAUUCUGCUGCUUCCACAUAUGCCCAUUACAUAGCCAGAAGUAGCAGGUGCACAUCCCCUCUACUGCCAGGACACCUCAUUAUGCAGACAUCCCCCGAGGCCAGCAGCCUCCAUCAUGCUACCCAUGCUGGAGCACUGUCUAAUAACCAUGAUCCUGACCUGAAUGCUAAUGGAUCUGUGACUUCAGAAUGUUCUGUGCCCACUUCGUAUGUUUCUCUUGAGAUUAUCAAAGAAAGGUUUUUUCUUCCAGUGGAUGGAAGGAGUUGUGAGAGUACUUUUAGUUAUAAGUGGGAUUCUGGCUUGGGUAUUUUCAACUAAGUCAUAGUUAUAGAUCACAAAGAAGUACAUAAUACUGGAAAGGAUAUUGGUAUUAUGUGGUAUGUCAGGUUUUUGCACAUAAUCUCAGCGCUGGUUCUGGACUUCCAGACAAGCAUGGCGAAUGUGGGCUAUUUUCUUCAAGACAGUUCUCACUGUUGAAGAAGACACUGUCCCACUCAGCACUGACAGUAUUACAAGCUUUACUUAUUUAAUUGUUCUGUUGAGAGCAAAGCAAUAUAAAAGUUUUACACUGAGAAGCUCUCUUAGUAAUGUAAGUAGCUCGUUACAUUCUGGGUUAAAAAGAGGAGAUGCUCCUUGAUCAGAUAGCUCAUAUAUUGCUCAACAAUGUCUAAAUAAUUUAUUGUGGCUUUUGAUAAGGGUCAUAUCCAACAUAAGCUGAGGCGGAGAUUCUCAGUUGAAUUCAGAUCAGACUAGCAACCUUCUUUAGCUCUUUCCUUUUACCAAAUUCAGAAUAAGUAGAACUGCAGUGUCUGAGGGAAUGAAUCUUAAUCAUAAGACACUGUUUAGCAGCAAGUGCAAGCAGCAGUGAACUCAAACCAGGUACAAUUUGGAGUAUGUGUAUACAUCGGAAGUAAGCAUAUGAAUGAGAAUAAAAAGUUUUCAUUUUUAUCUA